CUGUGUUAAACAUAUUAAAAAAAUAAAAAAAUAAAAUUGUUCUUCGUCUGGAUUAGAAACAUCUGAAAGUUUUCAGUCUUCUUCGUCUUCUUCUCUCCUCUUCCUAUCCUCUCUUUCUAUCUUUCUCUCUGCUCCUGGAUCUCUCUCAUCCGUCUCAGUAUGCGUAGCACGCAAAACGCCGUCGUUUUGUUGGAAUGCCCUAGCCAAUUACCCAACCCAGCAACCUUAGCUCCACACAACGGCGCGAACCCAUCCCUCCUAUCACCCUCGAGCUCCUCCUUCCUCUCUCCGUCAUCGAUCUCACUCCCUCACCUCCGUCCAUCUGCCGCCGCCGUCGCCGAAACGAGCUUCGAAGCCACCGUCGGUAUCGUGCACCAUCGUGCAGCUAUUGUUUCAGCUUUGAAAGCACCGUCGCGCAGCUCGGUUCCAUCGUCGCCGGGCUCGCCUCCUUUUUCUGUCGAGCAGAUCUGUUCUAUCGUCGCCGGCGCUAUCUCUGUUCCACCUGUCAUCCCUUCGGUCGUGCCCUUGUCCCCCUCUUGCUCAGGAUCUGCUCUGCUCUGUUCUAGGGCUUCUAGCUUCUAGGCAUUUGCUCAGUUACUACGAGCUCCUCAUGAUGAUGCAGAGUCGAUAAUAAAGGAAAGGUUUCCCAUACCUCGCCUAGUUGUUUGCGAUCAGCAUGGUUCCCAGGCUACUGUGUAUUUGUUGAUGCUGAGCAUGCUCUCGAUAAGGCACUUGCAGAAUCCAUUGGUGUGAAUACUGAAAACUUGUUGCUUUCUGUUAGGGACUUGGGUAUUAUGGGUGCUCAAAGUCCCACAUCGAGUAGUAUGGGAUGCUUGAUGUUGUACAUAAGGAGAGUGGUUCUUCUUCCUUAACAGCUAGCUUUAAGGUGUGGUUUCCCAAUUUUCUUAGAUACUUAACACUUUCACAACCAGAUUGUGGUGAACAAGCACUUAGUCUUGUGGAUACCUUAAUCCGUAGUGGUUCAGUUGACGUAAUUGUUGUUGACAGUUUGCUGGUAUUUGACAAGUAUGGAGCUUUCAGGAUCUUUGUCUCCUUUUGUUGCCAAUAUGACAGCUCUGGCUAGGAAACAUGCAAUGAGUUGACACUGUACCUGGUCAAUGAACUAUAUAUGCAGCUUCAGUGUGGUGUCUAGAUGAAGGUGCCAAUAUCCUCGAGUGUCAGAAGGAAAAGGGCCAGCUUGUGUUUCCCAUAUUCUUCUACAAAUAGAGCCAUCGGAUGUACGGCGUCAGAGAAAUAGUUAUAAACUUGCCAUGGCUGUUACUCUGAGAAGUGCAGAGGUGUUACAUACAUAGAUUAAAUGAACCAAUAUGUAUUAGAGACUCUGAGAAGCAUAUAUAGACUCUGACAUAGAUUAAGUGGGCAGUAAAUUUUGCUCAUAGAGACUGACAUAGAUUUGUUGAGACAAAUUUUGUAAAGAAUGCUCUUUCUUUUUGUUUUGAAGAUUGUCCAUUUUGCUCUCUUCCUUAUAUUAUUCCUUUGAAAGUGUAAAAAUUUUAGAUGAAUGAAAGAAAGUUAUUGCAUCUCA